CUGCUCUUUCCUAUUUUCUUUUUCUCUUUUGCUUCUUGCUUUAGCACUUAUAGCCUGCCAUUCUCAAGCAAGAGUUUAUCAGGAAGAAAAAAGUCACUUGAAAAGCAUCCUUAUGUUACACUACAGCAAGCCACUGCUACUGUGCAGCCUUGCAAAAGAAAUGUCAGUGAUGGUUUUAUAUCGCCUUUAUUUUCUUCCCUUCAGUGAUCUGGAAUGGUUUUAGUAAAUCAGAAGUAAUUUACAUGAAGUAGAAAAUAUUCCUUUUCAGCUGUGAAUGCUCUAAAAAAUCAGGAGUGGCUCCUAGUGUCUCCAAAUUGCAGGACAGCUGCAAUAGUCGCUCAGCUUUCUUGUCUUGACCAGAAACUGAAUUAGAAACGAGAGUCUAGAAAGUUUUCCUACUAAAACUGGGCACAUUCGAAGAGGUGGCUAUUUAGAAAAUUACUGUAUAUUAGGCAACAUGUAACGGAUCAUUAUAGGGGACCAUCGGCUCAUGAUGUCCCUUGCUCUGGAGCUUGGCAGCAAUGCUGGGUGGAUGACAGAAAUGCCCUGGGGCCAGGGACCGCCGGCACUGAGCGAGCACUGCCACAAAGCAGAUAAUUAAGAAGCCGCAGUGACAGACUUUCUGAACCACUGCUCCCGUCAUCUUGAACGUCAUUCUCAGUGACAUAGCUGUCCUCUUCCUGAUGCAGAAAAGGAGCAUAAUUUCUUCAGCUACGCUAUCCGCGCCUAUAGUAUAGUCAGCUGUACGGUACAUCAGCUACACUGACAGUGACAGGAGCGAGGGGGAGCCGGAGCCAUCCGGGGGCAUUCCCACCCCUCGGGUUCAAGCUCCCUGGAGCUGAUUCCCAGCAAAGCUGCUGAAACCUCAACACAGUCAGUGUUUUUCAGAGCGAGGAGGACUCGGCUCCUCUCCCCGCCGUGGGACAGACAGCAACUAUGGUCACGCUCCACUUUGUUGUGGAGAAUCUCUGGCAGAGGGAUGGUCUGUAAUGUAAAUUUUAGCCUUGGCUCUGAAAGGAGCCACGUGACGGCCUUGGGCACUUCACAUGGCCUGGAAUUGUUCUUGAAUUUUCACCAAAGGGUCACGUUGUGAAUGCUAGCUUGAGAUAUUUAAGUGUCUCUGUUUGCAUUUCCAUUUCUCCAGCUCCUUUCACAGCUGUUGUCCUAAAUGCGGAAGACCUGCAAAGAGGUGCUUAGCCCCAUGUUUCUGAGUCAUCCUAUUGACACUGAUGGUGAUGCUAGGCCCCAUCACAGCAGUGAAACAGAUGAGGAUGUCCGUCAGACCAGGGCUCUGCUACGACAAAGCUUUUUUUAAGGCAUCUCUUGCACCAAGAGACUUUUGCCACUUCAAGAAGUGUUCAAGAAGAGUUCAAGAAAAUUGGGAGGAGGCCAGCAAAAUCCAUCUUCUUGAUAUUCCCCAUAUUGCAAAACUAUUUUAGCUAUGGGUACCAUAAUAGCAGUGCUGGUAACUGUUUUGCUGGGAAUGCUGUUUGAGAAGGAUAACACAACUGGGAUAGACAGGCAUGUCUCAACAAAGAAAGAGAUUAGAAGGAAAUUGAAAUCUCGCCUAUUGGUAGCUAACUCCUCAUCCAUGAUUUCACCUCUUCUCCUCACUGUUUUUCCAGCUAGUAACUCCAGAAAUGAAACUACAGAGCUAUGGCAGUGUUUUGGAUCCCCUUGGCUAACAGAUAAGCUCUGACAAUAGAGAUAUAGUUGAAGAAAUUACUGCCUCCACAGCUAUGAACAUACUGCCAGCUGUUGCUCAGUUUGUCUCUUUUUGCACACUUUUGGGAUGAUCGUAAGUCAUUUUGGAUCUCAAGCGUGUCAUCAUUUUUCUGCCCCUUCUGCUGUUCAAGAUACAGGGAGUCUGGCAUUUUUCCAGAGAACUCCUGGAUUAUUGUGGAGCAAAAUGUGCCUAUGAAUUUUGGAGGGACUGGUACAUGGAAGCACAGCCCUGGUAGCAAGUAUUCUUAGUUUCAAACCUCUCAGAUGAGGACAAUAACAUACUUAUGAAGAAAAGCAAACCUGGGCACUUUAGUUAAGAAGAUGGGGAGAGGAGGUGACCCAGGCAGUCUUGUGUAGUUGGCUGCAAUAGUAUGCAAAGCUCUCAAGAAAAUUUUAAAUGAAAGGACGAAUAGUGGUCGAGAGGUGAACAGGAUAAAAUGAAACAUGACUUUACAAUGUUGGAUUGUGUCAGCCCAAUAGAGUCUUUGAGAAGCUAUUUCCUACACAAAGGAAACAUAUGUUUCCUUCCUGGGAAUUUCAGUUAAGCCUUUCCGUGGAGUCUUGUGGGAUGCAGUGAUGAGGAAGCUGUGAGACAACAGGGAUUAGGUGUGCACAGAGCUGGUGAAAAGGGAGAGAGCACUGCUGAGUGUUAGUAAGUACGUGGCGAGGAAGGAAUUCAUGAGCUGGGUGCUGCGAUGGCAGUGAAUAUGCUGGAUGGAAAUAACUGUGGAAGGGAAGGACCCUGGUGUAUAUGGUGGAUGUGCUGCUAAUGUGAUCUUAGAGUGGUCUGACGAGGUAUAUCCAGCAGAAAAGAGGGAAGCUUACUGCCCUGAUUCAAAGAUGUUUUUGAGAUUUUGUUUAAAUUUAGCUCAUGCUUCUGAUUGCCUAUAUUAAACAAAGACGGACUGAAACUGAAGGGUGUCCAGAUUGGUCAGAUUGAUGGAGAGCUUUGUGCUGGAAAGGAGCUGGGAAGUGGACACUGUGUUUAGUCUAGCAAAACAAAGCCUCAGAGGGGACCAAGACUGCUUCCUAUUAGCAGUGUAAAUACCAGAGGGGACACCGAUCAACACAUGGGACUAACCUAGCUGUAAAUGGAAAUAUGUGUUUCAAACAAGAAAGUGCUUCCUAACCGUGGAACAAAUUUCCUAACCAGAAAAAAGUUUCACAGUGGGAUUGGUCAAGCACUGGCACAGGUGCCCAGAGGCUGUUGAAUCUCCAUCCUUGGACGUGUGCAAAGCUUGACCGAAAGAGACACUGAGCAACUUGAUCUCACUUUAAACUGGAUGUUUAAAUAAGGGGGUGGCCUAGAUGACCUCCAGAGGUGCCUUCCAUCUGAAUGAUCCCAUGCUCCAUUAGAACAAAGAAACUCCUAGACACCUUUCACAGCAUAUUAGAAGCAAAAGGAAAGAAAGGAAAAGUCCUCAAACCCCAAAAUGCUGUUAAGGCAGACCUUUACAACAGGAUUAUUUUGUACAUGUAGGUGGUAGGCAGGAAAGAGACCUGAGGACCAGGGUGUUCUUUCCAGGCUAUGAAUCUUACAGGGAAGACAUGCAGGGACAAGACAGGACAUGUCUUGCCAUCUCUUUUAGUAUUUGGGUCUCACAGCUUAGCAGCAGCAAUGAUGCCUUCUCAGCAUUUUUUGAUACAGAGGAACUUGGCAAAUUAUUUAUUGGUUGCCUUUAUCACUCAUUUCCUCAAUAUAGUUUUCACAAGAUUCAGGGUAAUUUGCAGGAGAGCUGAGAAUGGCCAAGUAAUGAACAAAAAGAGGUUCUGAUGGUUGGGAAAAACCUUAUUUUUCAAUGAAAAAGAGUACAGCUGAGGCAGAAUGAGGGUAUAGAAAAGGAGUGGGGGGAAAGGAAAGAAUCAAAAGAGAAUUAAAGGGAAGAAGGAGAAAGAAGAGGUCGGGAGAAGUCCAGAUUUGCUAAAGAGAUUCACAAAAUUGAAUUUCUUUGGGAGGUCGAAGGGCACAGCCUCUCCUAAAUCAUUUAGAAAGUGAAAUGAAGUGGGGAAGCAAAAUUGACCUGGCUUUUCUUUUUUAAUCGUGGAAUUAUAGAGCUUGCAAAAGACGGGGCACUAGCCUGGGCAGUCAGCAACAACAAUUUCACUCGGCCUUCUCUCCCUAACUCCUCAUCUUCCCCAGUGAGCCUGUGCGAGUUGGUAGGACCAUCUCUAGGGGAAAGAGGCAAUUGAUUCAUCAGGCCCAUCCAUCCCUGAGACUAGCAAGAAACAUCCCUUUCUUGUUUGUAACUCAGUUUUCUGCCAAUGUCAUUCCACUGAAAUAAAUGCAGGCAAUUUGGCUUCUAGUCCAGUAGACCUACUAUUAACACAGAAACACAUGUGCGAGGACUGGGCUGAUACUUUACUGAGCUCAAUAGAAAUAUUAUAAUUGGAUGCCCAGGAAAAUAUAAUUUUUAAAAGUUUUUUUUUUUUUUACAUUGAAGUAGCAGGCAAAAAAUAAACAUACAAGGGACAACCUGAGUAGUUGAAAAGAUAUUUUCAUGUGAAAGGAUAUGUUAUUCACCACUUUUGUAUCUGAAAGGAAAAAUUUCUUAUGCUUUUGGUAAUCUGUAGAUUGAGUGACAAUUCUUGUUUCUGAUGCUAAAGAGGUACACAGUGGGUUGUGUGAUUUCCCGUGACUAAGGCUCAGCUUGCCCUAAGCUAUGUAUCUAAACCUUCACUGAGUCAUGAUGCAAUUCUCCUGGUAUGGCCAAUGGGUUGUACCCUAAAAAGCUGCAAGUCUUGGCAUCUAUAUACCUGCAAGGUGCAAGACAGCUAUACGUGCAAGAAGUGUACAGUUCUGCAUCCUCUCCCUGCAGCUUUUUUCUGAUUUUGCACAUAGAUGCACUGCUUCAGCCUUGCACUGAGAGCCAGGGUAUGUCUUUCUCUCUCCUGGUACCCUGCAAUCUGCUGCCUCUCAGGUGACAGUCUCCAUUGCAUGGGUGGCUCAGCGUGACUCAGGUCGCUUGCAGCACACACACCAGUAUCGCUGCUCUCAGCCUGUGUUGUGAGCUCUGCGCGCAUAACGCGUGUGUGUGGCAGGCCACGUACAGGGGGCCUGCUUGCUGAGGUGACAGAUGCCCUGGUCUCCCAGCACAGCCAUGGGCAGGGACACAGGUCUGAGCAUUGAAACAAAAACCUCCCCAGGAAAAAAAUUCAUUUGGAAAUGCCCUGUGUUUGUACCCUAGAGGCAGAUAACGGCGCAUAGGCUGGCAUCUCUCCAGUGGCUCAAAGACCCAGGGCAGUUACGCAUAUGCUGAAAGAAGACACGUCAUUCUGGGGAAGGCAUCAAGCACUUUCGGUUGGAGUGCCUGACACCAGAGGACACAGCAAUAGAGAAGUAUGCUAGCUUGGCAGCUGGACACUGCAAGAGAGGCCAAGUGAAAACUGAAAUGUGUCCAUGCUUGUACAAAAGAGGAAUUCUCAAAUGCUUUCUUCCACUUCUCUCACACGCUUGUUUCCUUUUUUCCACUAUGGUCAACACAGAGUAGCUGUCUCAUCAGCAAUAACCUCAAUCAGCUGCAGAUGUUUACCUCUGAUAAUGUCUCUACGUUGCACACAUUUCCUGUCAGGACAUGUUGUCUUUCUCACCACAGUUAUAGUUACGAGGACUGAUACUCUGAGUGGCUAAAAAUUUGCUUUGCAUCCUCUUCUGAACCCUCCAGUCUUUGAGGAUCACCUCUUGAAUACAUCCUUGCUACUACCCCUUCCAAUAUCUCCUUUCAGCUUUAGGAGCGCUUAGUCACAAGUGGUCUCUGGAUCUAUCUCCUGCAGUGUGGUUUCUGCGUCUAUCUCCUGCUUUGGAUCCGAAAGAUCUUCCCCGAUCUAAUCCACCUUUCCCAGGUGGACUGGCUGUCCUUCUCCACUCCUGAGCCCUCUGGCUGUGGCUUGUCUGUCUUAGUGGAGGAUGCAAUGUAGCGUGAAGACAGUGCUGCUGCAGUGCACCCAAAAACCAGUGAAAGGAAAGCUGUACUAGCUCCGACAUGCCAAGGACUCCUCUGCAGGGGCUUGAAUCCAGUGCUGGACCUGACUACCACUGCCUUGCAAAGACCAGUGCCACCUCUGGAGGCAAGUUCACAAGAACUAUUUCCUGGACUUUCUUAGAGUUGCUAGAACAUGUCCCUCUACCCCUCACUCCGCAAAAAAGACCCACUUCACGCCCUGCAUUGAAUGGAUCUUACCUUGACAAACAUUUUCAUUGCCUUCUGCUUUGGACUCAAAGAUGCAAAUAACAUACAGGAGCCGUGGUGAAAAGUCAGUUAAGUAAAUGUGCGCUUUACUACUGCUCCAAAAUGGAAAGAAAAAUACCCUCCCCAUCCCUUAGGACAAAAUGGUAGUGAGAGUGCAG